rnacentral:lncRNA from 1 species
GUUGUUUUUGUUUUUGUUUUUGUUUGGUUGGUUGGUUUGGUUUGGUUUGUUUUUGUGAGACAGGGUUUCUCUGUGUAGCCCUGGCUGUCCUGGAACUCACUCUGUAGACCAGGCUGGCAUUGAACUCAGAAAUCUUUCUGUCUCUGCCUCUGCCUCCCGAGUGCUGGGAUUAAAGGUAUGCGCCACCACGCCCGGCCCUUAACCAAAUAGUUUUAAAUUAAGAAGCAAGGUUGCUCUGGGCAGUGGAGGCACACGCCUUUGGUUCCAGAUCGUGGGAGAAAGAGGCAGGCAGAUUUCAGAGUUGAAGGCCAGCCUGGUCUACAGAGUGAGUUCCAGGACAGCCAGGACUACACAGAGAAAACCUUUCUUGAAAAAAGGAAAAAAAGAAAGAAAAGAGAAAAGAAGCAAGGCUGUAAAGCACAAGCAGGUAAACAUGAGAAUUCACUUGUAAACCUUCAGGAACAGAAUUUACUACUACAAUACAUAGCAACAGACCAAACCUCAACAAUUCCCCUUUUUUGUCUAAAUUAAAAGGCUCUUUCCCUGAUAAAAUAAACAACAUGCAAUAGGAAUAAUUAUGAAACCACUAUGAAAAUUAUUAGGUAAGAGUUACAUUUAAAAUGUUUUUAUUUAGCAACUAUGGAGAAGUAUUCUAUUAUCUAUCCUAUCCUGUGAGUUCAGAGUUCUGUAUCCAAAUCAAUUUUCUAUCCUAACUUGCAUUAUCAACCUACAAACAUCUUCUUAGAUCUAGAACAUCCUCUUAAUCCUAAACAACUAAAGCUUAUGAUAAGAGUAGUCUUCAAUUGAGGCUAUCUAGUCUCAAUCUGAGAUUUGAGGAGAAAAAUAUAUAUUACCCGAAUAUGCAGGAAGUGCAGGGAUGCAGCUUCCAAAAAUUACAGAAAUGACAGAGAUAGCUACUGCUUUGACAGUCCCCAAUAUUCUCUAAAACAUUGGAGCAUCAUCUUCAGCCUUCUGGCCCAGAAUGUCUAACAGAUCUUUUGUGAAGCAGGAAUUAUGAAGGAGUUGCUUGUCUUGGCAGAGCUUGGCGGUGACUUCCCUGUGUCUGUUUGUCCUGGACAUCAUUUUGUCUACAGACGAAGCUAAGGCAUUUUCUUUGCCUGGUGGUUAGCCUGCCACAAAUUAAGCUUCCAACUAGAGGUCCUUCAAUGCUCGACAUCUUCUUCUAAGUCAAAUGGGAUACUGCCAGGAGCUGACAUGUCUCCAUGUCAAAAAAGCCUUACAUUAAGUUUUUAAAAAAACUUUAAAUACCAUAUUUUGUGAGUCUCUGAGGUUUCUGAAGACCAUCUACCUAUUUAUAGCAUACCUGAACAAGCAAACGUUGCCUGUUUCUAGCUAUUUAUUACUUGUUUAAACCAGCAUGUACAUUUCUGUGAUAAUCCAAACUAGUAUGUAACAGACCAUUAGUUUGACUGUCUGACCAUUAACCUGCAUUUCUCAACCAUCCCUAACAGUUUGCAAUAGCAUCUACUAAAAGUCUUGUGAGUGCCCGACUCGCCAGCAAAGCAGAUGCCACACCAGGAUCCUUCUGCACACGUUUAUUGGGAGAGCUUGAUUGCAGAGGCGAAAGAACCCCAAGCCCAAAACUGGUGCUGCUUAUAUAGGCCUAGGAGAGGCGUGUCUCACACCCGGAUUGGUUAUGCUUUCCACCUUAUUUGCAUGUUCCUCAUCUGAUUGGUUAUUCUCUCUCAGUACCUCAUUGAGCCUCAUUAUCAUACCUCAUUUGCAUGUCUCUCAUCUGAUUGGUUAUUCUCUCUCAGUACCUCACUGAGCCUCAUUAUCAUACCUCAUUUGCAUGUCUCUCAUCUGAUUGGUUAUUCUCUCUCAGUAUCUCAUGGAGCCUCAUUAUCAUGCCUGGUCCAGGCAGUGACUUGGUGAAAAACUUUACUGCAUAUGUACACAUUGGUUGUUUACCCAAACUUAUGCAUGGUGGCCAGCGGUAGCCAGCGCCACCCUGCAACGGCACAUGUGGCUUCCCACAUAAAAGAAUUGGGAUAAAUCUUGCAUUUUCAAAUGAUCUGCAUAGGCUUAAUAUCUAUAUAAUAGUUAAAACAUGUAUACAUUAUGUUGUAACAAAAUUAACCUAAAAUUUUGUAUAAAUAUACAAAGAUUCAUACCAAUAAAAACCUUAGACCUGUAUAAAUAUACAGUGAUGCAUAUCAAUGUAAAUAAAAAUAAUCUCAUUUGAGAAUAUCAAGAGCUGUAAGUUGAAGAGUAGAUUCAAUAAUCUACCUUUUAUACUAUUAAUUCUAUAUGAUAAUUCUAUAUGAUAAUUCCAUACCCCUCUUUUCUUCCCAAGCCCUUCCUUUUAUCUAAGAAAAAAGAAGCGUAGAGAAAAGGAAAGGGAAGAUAGAAAUCCCCAAGGCUCCCUAUUCUGUUUCCUCCCUGUCCAAAUUAUUUGUAACCAUCCCCUAAAAUGACAACAUAUAUAUAACUCAUACAGUGACCAAAACCACCCAACCCAACUUAAGGGACUGGGACAAUGGUUUUAUAAUUGCUUCCUGCUAAUGUUGGACAUAGAAUUCCUUUUGGGGGACUCAAGAAAAUUAGAAAAAUGGUUAGUCUUAAGAAAGCUGCUGUCGUGUUUGUUGUCCAGUCUCUAUGUGCUGAGAAAGUUCAGGGCUUAACACAAGUCCUCACUGGAUCAGUCUGUGAUUCUGGAUCAAGUGAGCUAGCUGUUUUGAAGCUGUUCUGAAGGCAAGUCUUUAGAGGAAACAGCGUUGCUAUACUCUGAAGUGGAAUCAGGCAAGAAGCUGGGCCAGCAAGCCUCGGCAUCUCAGCAUCCCCAAGGCUGAGUCUUGUUAGGGCUGCAUUCUUGGCCUUCCAUUCUGCAACACACAGACUUUAAUAAGCAAUAUAUAGUUCUCUAAGGACAUUUGUACAGAAUGCGCAGUGCUCACAGAUCAGUUAAAGAUGAUUUUCUGCUCCUUGUUUGAACAGUUGAGCUAGUUUGGAUUGUAACCGACAUUGCAGUAAAUCUCUAUCUAUGCCUUAUAAACGGGUGGCAAAGAUUUGUUGGCCAUGUAUAGCUGAAGUUAUGGCUGGAGACAUUUCUAAGUC